UAUCGAUAUGUGAAUACAUAGCAUAUCAGAAGGCACACCCGGAGAACUGAAACAUCUUAGUACCCGGAGGAAGAAAAAGAAAAUUCGAUUCCCUUAGUAGCGGCGAGCGAAACGGGAAGAGCCCAAACCAACAAGCUUGCUUGUUGGGGUUGUAGGACACUCUAUACGGAGUUACAAAGGACGACAUUAGACGAAUCAUCUGGAAAGAUGAAUCAAAGAAGGUAAUAAUCCUGUAGUCGAAAAUGUUGUCUCUCUUGAGUGGAUCCUGAGUACGACGGAACACGUGAAAUUCCGUCGGAAUCUGGGAGGACCAUCUCCUAAGGCUAAAUACUCUCUAGUGACCGAUAGUGAACCAGUACCGUGAGGGAAAGGUGAAAAGCACCCCGGAAGGGGAGUGAAAUAGAACCUGAAACCGUGUGCUUACAAGUAGUCAGAGCCCGUUAAUGGGUGAUGGCGUGCCUUUUGUAGAAUGAACCGGCGAGUUACGAUUUGAUGCAAGGUUAAGCAGUAAAUGUGGAGCCGUAGCGAAAGCGAGUCUGAAUAGGGCGUUUAGUAUUUGGUCGUAGACCCGAAACCAGGUGAUCUACCCUUGGUCAGGUUGAAGUUCAGGUAACACUGAAUGGAGGACCGAACCGACUUACGUUGAAAAGUGAGCGGAUGAACUGAGGGUAGCGGAGAAAUUCCAAUCGAACCUGGAGAUAGCUGGUUCUCUCCGAAAUAGCUUUAGGGCUAGCCUCAAGUGAUGAUUAUUGGAGGUAGAGCACUGUUUGGACGAGGGGCCCCUCUCGGGUUACCGAAUUCAGACAAACUCCGAAUGCCAAUUAAUUUAACUUGGGAGUCAGAACAUGGGUGAUAAGGUCCGUGUUCGAAAGGGAAACAGCCCAGACCACCAGCUAAGGUCCCAAAAUAUAUGUUAAGUGGAAAAGGAUGUGGCGUUGCCCAGACAACUAGGAUGUUGGCUUAGAAGCAGCCAUCAUUUAAAGAGUGCGUAAUAGCUCACUAGUCGAGUGACACUGCGCCGAAAAUGUACCGGGGCUAAACAUAUUACCGAAGCUGUGGAUUGUCCUUUGGACAAUGGUAGGAGAGCGUUCUAAGGGCGUUGAAGCAUGAUCGUAAGGACAUGUGGAGCGCUUAGAAGUGAGAAUGCCGGUGUGAGUAGCGAAAGACGGGUGAGAAUCCCGUCCACCGAUUGACUAAGGUUUCCAGAGGAAGGCUCGUCCGCUCUGGGUUAGUCGGGUCCUAAGCUGAGGCCGACAGGCGUAGGCGAUGGAUAACAGGUUGAUAUUCCUGUACCACCUAUAAUCGUUUUA
rnacentral:rRNA from 1 species